UGCCCUUGAUGUUUGCCGAGGUAAAGUACUGAAAAAAGUAUUUAUCCUGUGUGAACAAGCCAGUAGUUAUGGGAAUUUAUCUUUGUUUCUCAAUAUAUGCAUACAAAGAUGUUCACUUGGGUAGUUUUGGAAUAAUAAUCUUUCCUGGUUACUGGAAGGUCGAAAUAUGGGAGAUAGGACACAAGCAUUGACAUAGUAAAUGUUUGAACCAUACCGUUACCUAAAACCAUUGCUUCACACUGAGCCUUGCUGCUGACAAGAUGGAAACUAUGAAGCUGGAUUUUUCUUAAUUUUCUUAUUAUAGAGGUAUAUUUAAUUUGGAACCUCGAUGAUGGCUAUAUACAAUAUGUAUAUCUACAAGUAGUGUGUUUUGUGUGUAUUAUGAUCCCCCGCUAGAACAAAAAUAGUUUAAACUUACUGCUUUCGACCAUAAUUCAUUGAAUGAAUUUGUAAGCAUCCGCAAACUGUUCACCAGUAUGAAUUUCAAAGAGGGUUUUAUAUGGGCCCUAUUUUCAAUUUGGUCUGUCCAUGGCAUCCUUGCAUUAAUAUUGUAUGACAUUGUUUAUUCAUGUUCAGAUGUUCUAUUCAGUGCUAAUGCUACAUGUAUGUGCUUAUUAGGUCAGCAUGGUGAUUUGUUUGAUGCCUGUAUAGAGAUGCUACUUUAUUUUAUAGUUUAUCUUUUCCAUCCAUUUGUUAAUAAUCUCGAUGAUUUUUAAUGAAAUGGCACCAUAAUAUGUCAUGUGGUGGUAGGAAUAUGGUUACAUGGAAUUAUGUAUCUUCUCAGAUAAAGAACUAUUAUCAAAUAAAAUCUGCAUGUGAAUUUCCAUAUAUCUUGGUUAUUUAUAUAUGCGUUGCAUAUUAUUUCUAACAAAUUUCUUACUAUUACUUAGGGUGUGUUUGGUUGGGCUACAAUUUCCAUGGCUGCAGCUGAAGGAGCGGCUGUAGCUGGUAAUGAAGAGAGGCACUUCACAUUUGCCCACAAGAAGUACAGAGAGGCUUCAAAGCAUGGUAACAUUGUUUAUGAAAAGAAUCCACAAGGGACUGAUAACCUACUUCUUGGAAUUAUCUACUGUAAGUUUAUGACUUGGCUCUAGCUGAAGCUUCUAUUUUCUACCAAAACUGCUGUUGACAUUAGCACAAUUGAUGGUUGCUUCUCCUCUCCUAUUGGCUACAUCUCCUUCCUCUAUAUGUCAAUAUAUCAACAAAACAAGGAUCUCUAAUAUCAUUGUUUUAUGGAGUUCACGGAUUGUUGAAGAUUUUUGCUGCCAUGGAAUUGUGAGUUUGUGACUAUACAUUCUUGUCCUAUAUGUGAAAUUGAAGAUAUAUUGUCUCUGUAUGUGAAUGUAAAUAUCCAGGUAUGUAAGCAAGUCAAUUUUUAUUUACAUAUUUAUCUAUGAAAUGCAAGCAAGCAAAUCACAUCUUAUAGACAAUUGCUCCGUUAUAGGUAAAUCUGAUGAUUCAUAAAUUAACCGGUUGGAGAUCGGUAGACAGUCAAGUGUAUUGAUAACUGGAGUUUAGAGCUCAAAAUCCCUCUAACUUUUCUACUAACUGUAUUUUCUUGACAUCUUUCAGAGAAGAACAAGUACUGUUAGUAUGUAUAAUACAAUUCUGGAGAUGUGAAUGGAUGUAUUCAUUUAGUAAAGUAUUAGUAGAUGAUGAUUUAUUUUCUUUGCUGUCAACUGGUGUAUAUCCGGAUAUGUUUAGUUUGUUUCGAAAUUAAUUUGUAAAGUAGUCUGAACAAUUGUACAGUCUCUCAGUGUAUUAGUACUCUGUUUUUUGGGCAGCUGGAAGAAAUCAGUUUGUCAUGACAUGCGAAAAUGAGUUUAUUUACCUUCACUAUUGCUUUUAUUAGCUAACAAAGAUGUUUGUGAAAUAG
rnacentral:lncRNA from 1 species